rnacentral:rRNA from 1 species
GAAGAACCUUACCUACUCUUGACAUCCAGAGAACUUUCCAGAGAUGGAUUGGUGCCUUCGGGAACUCUGAGACAGGUGCUGCAUGGCUGUCGUCAGCUCGUGUUGUGAAAUGUUGGGUUAAGUCCCGCAACGAGCGCAACCCUUAUCCUUUGUUGCCAGCGGUUAGGCCGGGAACUCAAAGGAGACUGCCAGUGAUAAACUGGAGGAAGGUGGGGAUGACGUCAAGUCAUCAUGGCCCUUACGAGUAGGGCUACACACGUGCUACAAUGGCGCAUACAAAGAGAAGCGACCUCGCGAGAGCAAGCGGACCUCAUAAAGUGCGUCGUAGUCCGGAUUGGAGUCUGCAACUCGACUCCAUGAAGUCGGAAUCGCUAGUAAUCGUAGAUCAGAAUGCUACGGU